rnacentral:rRNA from 1 species
AGCAGUCGCCACGGUAAUACGUAGGGUGCGAGCGUUAAUCGGAAUUACUGGGCGUAAAGCGUGCGCAGGCGGCUAUAUAAGACAGAUGUGAAAUCCCCGGGCUCAACCUGGGACCUGCAUUUGUGACUGUAUAGCUAGAGUACGGUAGAGGGGGAUGGAAUUCCGCGUGUAGCAGUGAAAUGCGUAGAUAUGCGGAGGAAUACCGAUGGCGAAGGCAGCCCCCUGGGAUAACACUGAUGCUCAUGCACGAAAGCGUGAGGAGCAAACAGGAUUAGAUACCCCCGUAGUCCCUGUCUCUUAUAC